rnacentral:tRNA from 1 species
GGCUUCGGGGCUCAGCUGGUAAAGCAUGCGCGUACAAAGCGUAGGCGGCGUCCAUGCGUGGGUUCGAAUCCCACCGAGGCUA